rnacentral:rRNA from 1 species
CAGUCGCCACGGGAAUACGUAGGUGGCAAGCGCUGUCCGGAAUUAUUGGGCGUAAAGGGCUCGCAGGCGGUUUCUUAAGUCUGAUGUGAAAGCCCCCGGCUCAACCGGGGAGGGUCAUUGGAAACUGGGAAACUUGAGUGCAGAAGAGGAGAGUGGAAUUCCACGUGUAGCGGUGAAAUGCGUAGAGAUGUGGAGGAACACCAGUGGCGAAGGCGACUCUCUGGUCUGUAACUGACGCUGAGGAGCGAAAGCGUGGGGAGCGAACAGGAUUAGAUACCCGUGUAGUCCCUGUCUCUUAUAC